rnacentral:rRNA from 1 species
GAUGAACGCUGGCGGCGUGCUUAACACAUGCAAGUCGAACGGUGAAGCAGGAGCUUGCUCCUGUGGAUCAGUGGCGAACGGGUGAGUAACACGUGAGCAAUCUGCCCUGGACUCUGGGAUAAGCGUUGGAAACGACGUCUAAUACCGGGUACGAGGCGUGGGGGCAUCCCCAACGCCUGGAAAGAACUUCGGUCCAGGAUGAGCUCGCGGCCUAUCAGGUAGUUGGUGAGGUAACGGCUCACCAAGCCUACGACGGGUAGCCGGCCUGAGAGGGUGACCGGCCACACUGGGACUGAGACACGGCCCAGACUCCUACGGGAGGCAGCAGUGGGGAAUAUUGCACAAUGGGCGCAAGCCUGAUGCAGCAACGCCGCGUGAGGGACGGCGGCCUUCGGGUUGUAAACCUCUUUUAGCAGGGAAGAAGCGAAAGUGACGGUACCUGCAGAAAAAGCACCGGCUAACUACGUGCCAGCCGCCGCCGUAACAC